rnacentral:rRNA from 1 species
GACGUAGGGCGCGAGCGUUGUCCGGAUUUAUUGGGCGUAAAGAGCUCGUAGGCGGCUUGUCGCGUCGACUGUGAAAUCCCGCGGCUCAACUGCGGGUCUGCAGUCGAUACGGGCAGGCUAGAGUUCGGUAGGGGAGACUGGAAUUCCUGGUGUAGCGGUGAAAUGUGCAGAUAUCAGGAGGAACACCCGUAGCGAAGGCGGCACUCUGGGCCGAUACUGACACUGAGGAGCGAAAGCGUGGGGAGCGAACAGG